UCGGGUCGAUCGGGCCUCCUGUGAGGUUACGCUGGUGGUGCCGAAGUUAUUCCUCGGGCCUGUUCCAUCCUCGGCCUCUUGCUAUCCUCGCACCUUCCCACCAUCAGGGCUUCGGCGGCAAUGUACCAGUUGGUGCGUUGGAGCAUCUCGGGGAUGGUUGCAGGCGGCUUCUCAAUCAACAACCAGAAGAACCUCGAGGGUCUUAGGCUCAUAAAAAAUGCUUGCAUGAUCAGAGAGGGAUGAGUGUUUGGGAACCCCCGGAUUUUGACGGCAAAGCACGCCACAAAUUUGGAGAGUGA
rnacentral:lncRNA from 1 species